CACCGCAGAACACAACUUCCUCGGAACUCUUCUGGGAGUGAAUGUUAUCAGCAAAUUACCAAACCAACACCCCCUUAGACAAAGAGCUGCCUCACCUGUGCAUUGCCUCGGCCACCUGCUAAAGGUGAUGGCCACAAAGAGGUGGAUUUGUUGAGUUGUUGCCAUUCCUUCUACUGCCAGCUUCACCAAAACAUUGACAGUCUUCCUUAUGCAUGGAGACUCCUCUCUUCCCUGUGUUGCAGUGGAUACCUCCUGCAGAUAAGAAAUGCUUAACUGAGAAAUGCUCAUGUUGGGAUAUCAUCGAUGAGACUUUAAUUUGGGCAUGGUGACUGUUUCCCUUGCUGCCACUUGACUCAAUCCCAGGAGCCUCAGUAGAGGAUAUAAUAUUACACAAGCUGCUCAAAAUGGUGGAAUUGCUCAGUACUCCCAUAAAUAUACAUUUAUAGUUUUCAUUUGCCACAUGGUAAACUGAAAAAUAUAGAUAUAUUGAAAAGAAACUCUGCAUGAUUUUUUCAAAAAUUCAAAGCAUAUUUAAAUAAUUAAUAUAUAAAUUAAAUGCCCUCCUCUCUUCCAGUUCUAUCCCUAUAGUUUUCCUCUAUUGAGUGAGCUGCAUGCAUUCUUUAGUGGACAGAUGCACACAAACACACAAGCCAUUUUGGGGAAGGAUCCGGGAGUGUGGCCAUAUUGUAACACAUUUUUCUGCAAAUUACCUCUUUCAUUUAACAGCUCUUAUUCAGUGGCCUUUUUCUUUUUCAGUAAUACAUACACAUCUGUGUCAUUUGUUGAAUGAUGACAUGAAUGUUUUGUAGAUGAAAUAUAAUUAAAUGUUUUAAGCAUUUCUCACUCAUAGAUAUUUAUGUUAGCACCAAAUUUCUGUGCAAUGAACCUCCCUCUAUAUAAAUAAUUUUGCAUUUGUCUAUUAUAUCAUAAUAAAUUAUUAUCAGUUGAAUUACUGGGAUUAAGUAUAUGCACACUUCAUAUUUUGAAAAUUAUUGCAAGAUUGCCUUCAAAAAAUGUGGUUAACAACUUUAUCCUCAAAUGGCCAUGAAUGAGAUUGCCAGCUUUCCUACAACCUCACAGACAAUGGAGUUCAUAAAUAUUUAAGAUUUUUACCAAUGUGAUCACCCAACUAUUGUCUUAAAUUGUAUUUCUUUUGUUUUUGAGUUUGGUCAUUUUUUCAUGUUUAUUAGCCAUCUGUAUUUUUUAAUUUCUUCUUUAUGUCCAAUUUUGUGGGUGGGAGGAGGAUUUAGUCUCUUCCUGAUUUCAAAGAGCUCAUUUACUAUUUUGGAAAAUAAGAUUUGGAUUGUCAACCAUUAUAGCUAUUUUUCACACACUUUUUAACUUUGUUUUUAUUAUAAGAAUGUGUAUGAUUGUUAUAUGUCAAAGUAUAACCAUGUUUGCUUUUACGGCUUCUGAGUUUCAUGUCAUUUUUGGAAAGAUUAAUAUAUAUACUGAGUCCAUAAAAUCCUUCACCUAUGUUAAAUUCUAA